rnacentral:misc_RNA from 1 species
CCGAGUGCGCACCCGCAACGGUGCAACCUCCCACCCGUGUCUAUGAAUACCCUGUUGCUUUGGCGGGCCCACCGGGAAACCGGUCGCCGGGGGCCCUGUGCCUCGGGUCCGCGCCCGCCGAAGCGCCUGAAGAACCCUUAUGAAGAUGGACUGUCUGAGCGUGAUUGAUAAUAAUCA